rnacentral:tRNA from 1 species
GGGCCUGUGGCGCAAUUGGUUGACGCGGGGAGUUACCACCUCCCUGGUCUUACGACCAUCCGGGUUCGAGCCCCGGCAGGCCCA